rnacentral:rRNA from 1 species
CGCUGCAAAACUAGCCCACAAUCCAAAACCAACCAAUACACAUUAAUAAACCCUUAUUUACAUAUAAUAAACCACCAAACCAUUUUUCCGCCUUAGUACGGGAGACAAAAAAGGAACCAGGAGCAACAGAAUUAG